rnacentral:rRNA from 1 species
UUUCGAAUCAUUCACAAUGGGCGAAAGCCUGAUGGUGCGACGCCGCGUGAGGGAUGAAGGCCUUCGGGUUGUAAACCUCUGUCACCGGGGAAGAAACGCUUCACGUUAAUAGCUUGAAGCCUGACUUAACCCGGAGAGGAAGCAGUGGCUAACUCUGUGCCAGCAGCCGCGGUAAUACAGAGACUGCAAGCGUUAUUCGGAUUCACUGGGCGUAAAGGGUGCGCAGGCGGCCGUGUGUGUGAGGCGUGAAAGCCUGGAGCUUAACUCCAGAAUUGCACCUCAAACUACAUGGCUAGAGCAUUGGAGAGGGUAGCAGAAUUCAUGGUGUAGCAGUGAAAUGCGUAGAUAUCAUGAGGAAUACCAGAGGCGAAGGCGGCUACCUGGACAAUUGCUGACGCUCAGGCACGAAAGCGUGGGGAGCAAAA